ACAAGCUACCAUCCAAGCUAACCACCAGCAGGAGAAAAGCAUGGAGGAGGGCGACGGCUGUCCAAACAACUUCAGCAACCUUCAUCCUCUGUCCCCGGGAAUGGGUCAGAACAGGGAAGCGGCAGGAGGAGCGAUGCGGGCGCCUUAGGAACGGGAACUCCUUUCCCCAACUUCCGCCCCUGGGGAAAAGCUGAAGCCAUCAGCUCCAGGAGAGCGGCUCUCCAAUUCUCAGCCUUUAGGUUCUGGCUCUGGAGACAGCCUGUCCUCCCGGUAUCGCCGGCGCCGCUGUACCCCCGCUGUAGACUAGCGGAUUGCAGGCAAAACUGAGUGAAAUGCUGGCUUCAUUCUCUUACUGAUCUCUGCGAAAGGAUCCUGGGGGUAGCAGUUUUGGAAGCGUGCUCCCCCCUACUGCAAAGUCUAGACCUCCUGAAUCAGAAAGCCUCAACUCAGAAGCCGCUGCUCUGCUCUGUGUUUUGCCAUGCCUAGUCUGGAGCUUCUGAUGCAAGGGAGUGUUGGAGAACUGAUGCUCUCAGGCCCUACAUCCAGGACCCUCCUCAGGGUGGCUGAGAAGGAAACUACCAGCACAUGUGAAUUACUGACUCUCAGAGCUGCUAUGCACUUCCAAGCUGGUUUCAGGGAUGACACCCACAUUCUUAUAGUGUUGGACAUUCACCGUAUCUAUAAUUUACCAGUGUUUUGUGGCUGGUUAAUGAGCUCUCAUUGUUUUAAUGUGGAUUUAUGUAAUUCUUAGUGAAUUGGGGCUGUUACUAAUGUUAUUUAGUUGUU
rnacentral:lncRNA from 1 species